rnacentral:rRNA from 1 species
UGGGGAAUAUUGCGCAAUGGGGGGAACCCUGACGCAGCCAUGCCGCGUGAAUGAAGAAGGCCUUCGGGUUGUAAAGUUCUUUCGGUAUUGAGGGAGGUUGAUGUGUUAAUAGCACAUCAAAUUGACGUUAAAUACAGAAGAAGCACCGGCUAACUCCGUGCCAGCAGCCGCGGUAAUACGGAGGGUGCGAGCGUUAAUCGGAAUAACUGGGCGUAAAGGGCACGCAGGCGGUUAUUUAAGUGAGGUGUGAAAGCCCCGGGCUUAACCUGGGAAUUGCAUUUCAGACUGGGUAACUAGAGUACUUUAGGGAGGGGUAGAAUUCCACGUGUAGCGGUGAAAUGCGUAGAGAUGUGGAGGAAUACCGAAGGCGAAGGCAGCCCCUUGGGAAUGUACUGACGCUCAUGUGCGAAAGCGUGGGGAGCAAACAGGAUUAGAUACCCUGGUAGUCCACGCUGUAAACGCUGUCGAUUUGGGGGUUGGGGUUUAACUCUGGCGCCCGUAGCUAACGUGAUAAAUCGACCGCCUGGGGAGUACGGCCGCAAGGUUA